GGGGUGUCCCCAGUUUUAGGGUGUCUCCAAUUCGGGGUAUCCCAAAUUCGGGGUGUCCCCAGUUUUGGGGUGUCUCCAAUUCGGUGUAUCCCAAAUUUCGGGGUGUUCCCACUUUGGGGUGUCCCCAAAUUCGAGCUAUCCCAAAUUUGGGGGCGUCCCCAGUUUUAGGGUGUUCCAAGUUUUGGGGGUGUCCCCAUUUUGGGGUGUCCCCAAAUUCGAGCUAUCCCAAUUUUGGGGUGUCCCAAUUUUGGGGUUGUCCUCACCUUGAGGUGUCCUAAAUUUCGGGGUGUCCCUCCCUGGCCUGGCAGCACCCCUGGG